GGUCUCGUAGCUCAGUGGUAGAGCACACACAUUGUGUUCCUUCAAAUCCCAGGACUUUUAUGUGUGGGUCGUUGGUUCGAAUCCGAUCCAGGCUG